rnacentral:rRNA from 1 species
AGCGAACGCUGGCGGCAGGCCUAACACAUGCAAGUCGAACGAAGUCUUCGGACUUAGUGGCGGACGGGUGAGUAACACGUGGGAACGUACCUUUUGGUUCGGAACAACUCAGGGAAACUUGAGCUAAUACCGGAUGAGCCCUUAGGGGGAAAGAUUUAUCGCCGAAAGAGCGGCCCGCGUUAGAUUAGCUAGUUGGUGAGGUGAAGGCUCACCAAGGCUACGAUCUAUAGCUGGUCUGAGAGGAUGAUCAGCCACACUGGGACUGAGACACGGCCGAGACUCCUAGGGGAGGCAGCAGGGGGGAAUGUUGCGCAAUGGGCGAAAGCCUGACGCAGCCAUGCGGCGUGAAUGAUGAAGGUCUUAGGAUUGUAAAAUUCUUUUGCCAGGGACGAUAAUGACGGUACCUGGAGAAAAAGCCCCGGCUCACUUCCUGCCAGCCGCCGCCGUAAAAC